UUUCAGCAAUUACUAUAUUUGCACCGAACUGUCAGAAGGAUGAUGAUGCAGAGAACCCAAACCAAGGAAGAAAAGCAACUUCCGAGCAUCAAGGUAUGUAUGUUGAAGACCCAAAGGAAGAUGAACUUCGCCAACAAUGCCCACAAACUUCUAAGAGCAAACAGAAACUCCAGUGUCCUGAGAACUAUCAAACAUCAGAUGAUGUUGUUGGAACUUCAUGAGUUGAUAAAGGUGGUGACGAAAGUAGAGUAACGAUCACUUGUAAGCUUCCAAUUGUUUGUUUUUCUUCUUCAUAGAGGGAAAGAGUAUCAUAGUGUAUUCUUGAGCAUCCCAAUC